rnacentral:rRNA from 1 species
GACAAACGCUGGCGGCGUGCUUAACACAUGCAAGUCGAACGGUCUCUCUUCGGAGAGAUAGUGGCGGACGGGUGAGUAACACGUAGUUGACCUGCCCCCUGUGGGAAGUAACUCCUCAAGAGGAGCUAUACCGCAUAAGUUCUUCUAUACAGGUAGAAGAAGGAAAGACCUUACGGGUCGGCGAGGGGAGGGGGACGUGCGGCGGAUUAGCUAGA